UACGUAGGGUGCGAGCGUUAAUCGGAAUUACUGGGCGUAAAGCGUGCGCAGGCGGUUUUGUAAGUCAGAUGUGAAAUCCCCGGGCUCAACCUGGGAACUGCGUUUGAAACUACAAGGCUAGAGUGUAGCAGAGGGGGGUGGAAUUCCACGUGUAGCAGUGAAAUGCGUAGAGAUGUGGAGGAACACCGAUGGCGAAGGCAGCCCCCUGGGCCUGCACUGACGCUCAUGCACGAAAGCGUGGGGAGCAAACAGG
rnacentral:rRNA from 1 species